rnacentral:sRNA from 1 species
CUUUUUUUCCUUUUUUCUUU